UGUCAUAACCAUUGUCCACCAAAGAGCAGCACUGAGCAGAAAUAACACUGCUCCUGUUCAUUCUCCAUCAGUGAGGGGCCGGUGCUGGACACUGUGUAGGGACGCGGGAAUGCAAAGUCAUACACAUGACUGUGACUGAUGCACUAUCUCCAGGACAUGGAGUAGCAUUUCCGGACCUACAGCAAGACGUUGGAUGAAGGCAUAGCCCCAGAAAUAACACUGGUCCUGUUCAUCAGUGAGGGGCCGGUGCUGGACACUGUGUAGGGACACGGGAAUGCAAAGUCAUGCACAUGACUGUGACUGAUGCACUAUUUCCAGGACAUGGAGUAGCAUUUCGGGACCUACAGCAAGACGUUGGAUGAAGGCACAGGCCUAGGAAUCAUGCACAUACACAGAAACAUUUGCCCAAAUUCUAGAGGUAACCUCCUUUAGUAUGCCCAGAGGAAGGGCCAUACAGUAGCCAUGGAUUCCCUACAGGUUUCCUCCCCUCUGGAGGUUUUUCCUGUCCUGAGUAUUAGUUACUGUACGCUCUUUGUGAGUGAUGGGAGGUUACAAAAAAUCCCCUACACAAACAUUUUAAUAAAUAAUAAAUAAAGUU